rnacentral:snoRNA from 1 species
UGCAAUGAUGAGUUUACAUCUCGUUAAUCUGAUUAAAAUGAGGAAACUUUUUAUCCAUUCUUAACAAGAUACUGAGC